GAUUAAGUUAUUAAGGGCGCACGGUGGAUGCCUUGGCACUAGAAGCCGAUGAAGGACGUUACUAACGACGAUAUGCUUUGGGGAGCUGUAAGUAAGCUUUGAUCCAGAGAUUUCCGAAUGGGGAAACCCAGC
rnacentral:rRNA from 1 species